rnacentral:sRNA from 1 species
AAAAAAAUAUAAUAUAAAAAAUGGGUGAAAGGGUUGCCAUCGCGUGGGCGAUAUUUUUCUAAGUGCGGGAAUCGAUAGUAGCUUUAAAGUAUGGCAACUCCCCCACCCUAUUUAUUCUAGUGCAUUUAGUUGAAUUGAACGUGUUGAAUUGCAUUUUAACAAAAGAAAUCUACUAAUAAUACUAAUUAUAAUUAGUGGGUAGAAUUACUAGAAUAAAGAAGAAAUUGUCGCAUUGUUUUUAUCGCAUUGUUUUGAUGUUUAUGUAUGUAUGUUAGUAUGUAUAUCAGCAAAAUCAGUUAUGCACAUAUCAGUUAUGCACAUAUAUGCCAUGCUAUAUUUGAAUCAACAAGGAGUGAUUUUUCCACCUACGACGACUUCAUUAGGGCCAUCCGGGAUGGAAUAAGGAGAGCCAAAAAUAAAAAUUAUAAGGAAAAAUAAAAAAAAAACAAAGAAAAUUCCCCGCCAUUACUUGACAAUUUAAAUUAAGCAGAAUGUUUAAAUAUUGUUUACUUUUAUUUUUAAUUUUUAGUUUUAAUUUGUAGUUUCAAUUUUUAGUUUUAAUUUUUAGUUUUAAUUUUAGCAGUGUAUUAAUUAACAGUGUAACUUAUAUUUAAUUUUAAUUUAAUAAAAUAAAAACGAAUAAAAGCAAAAAAAAAAGCAAAAGCAAAAAAAAUUUUUUCUUGAAUAAAAAUUUCCCUUGUCGCCUUUCGGUCACUUUUUCUCGGGCAAGGCUGCGUACGGUGUGCAUCCUGAGUGCAUCUUUUUCUCGUCGCGAGGCGCGCAAGUUUUGAUGCACGUGCUGAAUUUCCCGGCCACGCUAAUGUAAUUUGGAAUGAUGCGUUUCCUAUGUUGGGAGUGCGCGGCGCACGUCAAUGCUGCACGCUUUCAGCAAGAAAGCGUGCACCAGGUCCGACUGGGUUGUCUUUAUGCAAUGCCAGAAGAGGCGAGGCGGGGGCGGGUGCUGAUUGCAGGUUAAUUCUACUCUCACCGAUCCCAUUGUUGUUGUUGGUUUCGGCCAAGCCAGACAUAGACGGCGAGCGAGCAAGCGAGAGGGAUUGAAGAAGAGCGAACAGGAAAAUGAAAAAUAAUUGAAUUGUAAGGCAAUGUUUACAGGAGAGGAAGAGAAUAUCCGGACCAGCAGACAGACGGGUGGACGGAGAGGGGAAUCGCCGCCGCAGACGUUUGCAAUUGGC